ACGGGUGAGUAACGCGUGGGAACGUACCUUUUGGUUCGGAACAACUGAGGGAAACUUCAGCUAAUACCGGAUAAGCCCUUACGGGGAAAGAUUUAUCGCCGAAAGAUCGGCCCGCGUCUGAUUAGCUAGUUGGUGAGGUAAGAGCUCACCAAGGCGACGAUCAGUAGCUGGUCUGAGAGGAUGAUCAGCCACACUGGGACUGAGACACGGCCCAGACUCCUACGGGAGGCAGCAGUGGGGAAUAUUGGACAAUGGGCGCAAGCCUGAUCCAGCCAUGCCGCGUGAGUGAUGAAGGCCCUAGGGUUGUAAAGCUCUUUUGUGCGGGAAGAUAAUGACGGUACCGCAAGAAUAAGCCCCGGCUAACUUCGUGCCAGCAGCCGCGGUAAUACGAAGGGGGCUAGCGUUGCUCGGAAUCACUGGGCGUAAAGGGUGCGUAGGCGGGUCCUUAAGUCAGGGGUGAAAUCCUGGAGCUCAACUCCAGAACUGCCUUUGAUACUGAGGAUCUUGAGUUCGGGAGAGGUGAGUGGAACUGCGAGU
rnacentral:rRNA from 1 species